rnacentral:rRNA from 1 species
GACGAACGCUGGCGGCGCGCUUAACACAUGCAAGUCGAGCGAAGCGGCGGACGGGUGAGUAACACGUGCGUAACCUGCCUAAGACAUUGGGAUAGCCUCGGGAAACAGGGAUUAAUACCAAAUGGUCUAAGAUGGACUCGCGUCCCAUUAGCUAGUUGGUGGUUAACGGCCCACCAAGGCGACUAUGGGUAGCCGGCCUGAGAUGGAGAACGGCCGAAGUGGAACUGAGCUACGGUCAAAACUCUACGGUAGGCAGCAGUGGGGAAUAUUGCACAAUGGAGGGAAAUCUGAUGCAGCGACGCCGCGUGAACAAAGAAGGCUUUCGAGUCGUAAAGUUCUUUUAUAUGGGAAGCGGUACCAUAAGAAAAAGCCCCGGCUAACUACGUGCCAGCAGCCGCGGUAAUUC